rnacentral:rRNA from 1 species
AGUGAACGCUGGCGGCAGGCCUAACACAUGCAAGUCGAGCGGCAGCGCGUCCGACCACCCUCGGGUGGUCGGAUGGCGGCGAGCGGCGGACGGGUGAGGAAUGCAUCGGAAUCUGCCUCGUUGUGGGGGAUAACGUAGGGAAACUUACGCUAAUACCGCAUACGACCUACGGGUGAAAGUGGGGGACCUUCGGGCCUCACGCGAUGAGAUGAGCCGAUGCCGGAUUAGCUAGUUGGCGGGGUAAAGGCCCACCAAGGCGACGAUCCGUAGCUGGUCUGAGAGGACGAUCAGCCACACUGGGACUGAGACACGGCCCAGACUCCUACGGGAGGCAGCAGUGGGGAAUAUUGGACAAUGGGGGCAACCCUGAUCCAGCAAUGCCGCGUGUGUGAAGAAGGCCUGCGGGUUGUAAAGCACUUUCAGUAGGGAAGAAAAGCCUGGGGUUAAUACCCCCGGGUCUUGACGUUACCUAAAGAAGAAGCACCGGCUAACUCCGUG